rnacentral:ncRNA from 1 species
AUCAGGGGCCCUUGCAAGGGCCUUCGGAUCGUCGCUCCAAGCUACCCUCCCGAGCCGAUUCGUGUCUGUACCGCCCACAAGGCGUGUUUGACGAGGUUGCGACUGGAACGAAGUUGUCCCGAGGGACGGAAGCCAACCAGGUAACCCGGCAACACGCUAGAACACCGAGGGCCCACGACGCCCGAAGACCGUUCCUGGCCAGCCGCUACCUACUCCUCC